rnacentral:rRNA from 1 species
UACGUAGGGGGGCUAGCGUUGUCCGGAUUUAUUGGGCGUAAAGAGCGUGUAGGCGGCCAUGUAGGUCCGGUGUGAAAACUCGAGGCUUAACCUCGAGAUGUCAUCGGAAACCAUUUGGCUAGAGUCCGGAAGAGGAGAGUGGAAUUCCUGGUGUAGCGGUGAAAUGCGCAGAUAUCCAGGAGGAACACCGGUGGCGAAGGCGGAUCUCUGGACGGCAACUGACGCUGAGGCACGAAAGCGUGGGGAGCAAACAGG